AGAGUUUGAUCCUGGCUCAGAACGAACGCUGGCGGCAUGCUUAACACAUGCAAGUCGAACGAUGUGCUUGCUUCGGUAAGUACAUAGUGGCAGACGGGUGAGUAACGCGUGGGAAUCUGCCUGUUGGUGGAGAAUAACUGCGGGAAACUGCAGCUAAUACUCCAUAUUCCCGAGAGGGGAAAGAUUUAUCGCCAACAGAU
rnacentral:rRNA from 1 species